UGGGGAAUUGUUCACAAUGGGCGCAAGCCUGAUGACGCAACGCCGCGUGGGGGAUGAAGGUCUUCGGAUCGUAAACCCCUGUCGAAUGGGACGAAAGACUCGCGAGUGAAUACUUCGCGAGAGUGACGGUACCGUUAAAGGAAGCCACGGCUAACUCUGUGCCAGCAGCCGCGGUAAUACAGAGGUGGCAAGCGUUGUUCGGAAUUACUGGGCGUAAAGGGCGCGUAGGCGGCCCUCUAAGUCAGACGUGAAAUCCCCGGCUUAACCUGGGAACUGCGUCUGAUACUGGAGGGCUUGAGUAUGGGAGAGGGAUGUAGAAUUCCAGGUGUAGCGGUGAAAUGCGUAGAUAUCUGGAGGAAUACCGGUGGCGAAGGCGGCAUCCUGGACCAUUACUGACGCUGAGGCGCGAAAGCUAGGGGAGCAAACGGGAUUAGAUACCCUAGUAGUCCCUGAGCGGGCUGGCAAGGCGCAU
rnacentral:rRNA from 1 species